UGGGGAGUAGCUCAGUGAUAGAGUGCUUGCUUAAAAUGCACAAGGCCCUGGGUUCAAUACCCAGCCCUGCAA
rnacentral:tRNA from 1 species